AACGAACGCUGGCGGCAGGCCUAACACAUGCAAGUCGAACGCUGUAGCAAUACAGAGUGGCAGACGGGUGAGUAACGCGUGGGAACCUUCCCAAUGGUGCGGAAUAGCUCAGGGAAACUUGAGGUAAUACCGCAUAAGCCCUUAGGGGGAAAGAUUUAUCGUCAUUGGAUGGGCCCGCGUCGGAUUAGCUAGUUGGUGAGGUAAUGGCUCACCAAGGCAACGAUCCGUAGCUGGUUUGAGAGAAUGACCAGCCACACUGGGACUGAGACACGGCCCAGACUCCUACGGGAGGCAGCAGUGGGGAAUCUUGGACAAUGGGCGCAAGCCUGAUCCAGCCAUGCCGCGUGAGUGACGAAGGCCUUAGGGUUGUAAAGCUCUUUUGCCGGGGACGAUAAUGACGGUACCCGGAGAAUAAGUCCCGGCUAACUUCGUGCCAGCCGCCGCGGUAACAC
rnacentral:rRNA from 1 species